GACGAACGCUGGCGGCGUGCUUAACACAUGCAAGUCGAACGGUGAAGCGCCUUCCUUUUUGGUGGGUGUGGAUGAGUGGCGAACGGGUGAGUAACACGUGAGUAACCUGCCCCCUUCUUCUGGAUAACCGCAUGAAAGUGUGGCUAAUACGGGAUAUUCUGGGUCUGUCGCAUGAUGGGUCUGGGAAAGAUAUUGUUUCGGUGGGGGAUGGGCUCGCGGCCUAUCAGCUUGUUGGUGGGGUGAUGGCCUACCGAGGCGGUGACGGGUAGCCGGCCUGAGAGGGUGGACGGUCGCACUGGGGCUGGGACACGGCCGAGACUCCUACGAGAGGCAGCAGGGGGGAAUAUUGCACAAUGGGCGCAAGCCUGAUGCAGCGACGCCGCGUGAGGGAUGGAGGCCUUCGGGUUGUGAACCUCUUUCGCCAGUGAAGCAGGCCUGCCUCGUUUGUGGGUGGGUUGACGGUAGCUGGAUAAGAAGCGCCGGCUAACUACGUG
rnacentral:rRNA from 1 species